rnacentral:rRNA from 1 species
GACGAACGCUGGCGGCGUGCCUAAUACAUGCAAGUUGAGCGCUGAAGGUUGGUACUUGUACCGACUGGAUGAGCAGCGAACGGGUGAGUAACGCGUGGGGAAUCUGCCUUUGAGCGGGGGACAACAUUUGGAAACGAAUGCUAAUACCGCAUAAAAACUUUAAACACAAGUUUUAAGUUUGAAAGAUGCAAUUGCAUCACUCAAAGAUGAUCCCGCGUUGUAUUAGCUAGUUGGUGAGGUAAAGGCUCACCAAGGCGAUGAUACAUAGCCGACCUGAGAGGGUGAUCGGCCACAUUGGGACUGAGACACGGCCCAAACGCCUACGGGAGGCAGCAGUAGGGAAUCUUCGGCAAUGGACGAAAGUCUGACCGAGCAACGCCGCGUGAGUGAAGAAGGUUGUCGGAUCGUAAAACUCUGUUGGUAGAGAAGAACGUUGGUGAGAGUGGAAAGCUCAUCAAGUGACGGUAACUACCCAGAAAGGGACGGCUAACUACGUG